UAUUAUCAAAUUAAUUAGUUACAAAUUAUUUCACGAUUACAAAUAAAAAAAAUUCAUAGGUCAAUCACAAAUUAUAAAAUUAAUUGGUCACAAUUUAUUUAUCAAUCACAAAUUAUAAAUUUUAUAAAUUAUAAUUCAAAUUUUUAGGUCAAAAAUUAUUUGUUGGUCACAAUUUUAAAUAAUUAGUCAAUACUUCAGAUUCGCAGUCAAUCCAGCAAACCCUACCACGACUACUAGAUCCAUCACUACCGCCACCAACAAAAAUCAUAGCCAAAUCAUGCCAGAGAAACACCACAAAUUGGAGAAAAUUUCGUAUUGUUGCUGCGUGUAGAGAUUUGUGAUUGACAAAUCGUCGUAUGGCACUACGCAACUGUUGUGCCUCCGGGUAUAGAGGCUCCGAUGCCUCCAUGGUACAUAUCGCCACAAGGCGAAGUGUUGUAGCGUGACCCUGCCAUCACUUGCACGACCAUCACCAUCUACAAACCACCAUCAAUGACCAAAAAUCUACACAAAACAUCAACUAAGAAGCAGACCAAAAAGAUACAACUCAAAAACAAACCUUGUGGAUAACGAUGUCGCCAUAGCGUUCAGAUCAUUAGCCCCUGAUCUACUGUUGUGCAAUGACUGCUGCUGCGACAGAUCAUCAUCACCUAAUGUGCCACUGUGUAAUGGCUGCACUUUAGUAGAUCAUCGUCGUUGAAUAGUGCCGAUGCGCGUAGGUGCCAAUUGUUGCUUCAGAGUGACACUGUCGUGAGCCGACUUUUCUUCAAUGAUGCUUUGUGAUAAAGAGAAAGAACUGAGAAGGUAGAGGAGAAAAUGAUCAGGGUUUGAAAUGAAAUCUAGUGUGGUGGGUAUGUAAAUUAAUUCAAUUUUAUGAUAUUAUUAUUAAUAUUAAAAAUUUGAAUCAUAACUUGAUUUUUGAAUAAAAAAUUUUGAAAUUUGAUUUUUGAAUUAAAAACUUAAAAAACAUGUGUCGAUGUAAGUUCCGCUUAAAUUUAACGUCUUUUUGUUCUUUAAUUUGUGUUAUGCUGUUGAAAUAUAUCAAAACACGACAAUAGUUGUUUUGCUUGCAAAAAAUAUGAAGAAAAAUCUUGUAUGGAAAUUGCCACCCUGAAAUAAUCAAUGAAAAAAAAAAUUUUAAACUGAAG
rnacentral:lncRNA from 1 species